rnacentral:rRNA from 1 species
UACGUAGGGCGCAAGCGUUGUCCGGAAUUAUUGGGCGUAAAGAGCUCGUAGGCGGCUUGUCACGUCGGGUGUGAAAGCCCGGGGCUUAACCCCGGGUCUGCAUUCGAUACGGGCAGGCUAGAGUGUGGUAGGGGAGAUCGGAAUUCGUGGUGUAGCGGUGAAAUGCGCAGAUAUCAGGAGGAACACCGGUGGCGAAGGCGGAUCUCUGGGCCAUUACUGACGCUGAGGAGCGAAAGCGUGGGGAGCGAACAGG